rnacentral:rRNA from 1 species
GGCGGCAUGCCUUACACAUGCAAGUCGAACGGUAACAGGUUAAGCUGACGAGUGGCGAACGGGUGAGUAAUAUAUCGGAACGUGCCCAGUAGUGGGGGAUAGCCCGGCGAAAGCCGGAUUAAUACCGCAUACGACCUACGGGUGAAAGGGGGGGAUCGCAAGACCUCUCGCUAUUGGAGCGGCCGAUAUCAGAUUAGCUAGUUGGUGGGGUAAAAGCUCACCAAGGCGACGAUCUGUAGCUGGUCUGAGAGGACGACCAGCCACACUGGGACUGAGACACGGCCCAGACUCCUACGGGAGGCAGCAGUGGGGAAUUUUGGACAAUGGACGAAAGUCUGAUCCAGCCAUGCCGCGUGCGGGAAGAAGGCCUUCGGGUUGUAAACCGCUUUUGUCAGGGAAGAAAAGCUCCGAACUAAUAUUUUGGGGUGAUGACGGUACCUGAAGAAUAAGCACCGGCUAACUACGUGCCAGCAGCCGCGGUAAUACGUAGGGUGCAAGCGUUAAUCGGAAUUGCUGGGCGUAAAGCGUGCGCAGGCGGUUCUAUAAGACAGAUGUGAAAUCCCCGGGCUCAACCUGGGAACUGCAUUUGUGACUGUA